rnacentral:rRNA from 1 species
GAAAGUAAGCAAGGGCAGACGGUGGAUGCCUUGGCUCUCGGAGGCGACGAAGGACGUGAUAAGCUGCGAAAAGCUCGGGGGAGGCGCAAAUAGCCCUUGAUCCCGGGAUAUCCGAAUGGGGCAACCCGGCAGGCUGAAGGCCUGCCAUCCCGUAAGGGAGGCGAACGUGGGGAACUGAAACAUCUAAGUACCCAUAGGAGGAGAAAAUAAACAAUGAUUCCGUAAGUAGUGGCGAGCGAACACGGAAGAGCCCAAACCCAUGUCGUCUAGGCGACACGGGGGUUGUAGGACCACGACGUGGCAAGAUAGAGUCAAGUGGAACGCCUUGGAAAAGGCGACCGUAGAGGGUGAUAGUCCCGUACACGACUGACGAUUGAAGCCUAGUGGCAUCCUGAGUAGCGCGGGGCACGAGAAAUCUUGCGUGAAACUGCGGGGCCCAUCCCGUAAGGCUAAAUACUCCCGAGAGACCGAUAGCGAACCAGUACCGUGAGGGAAAGGUGAAAAGAACCCCGAGCAGGGGAGUGAAAUAGACCCUGAACCCGUCUGCCUACAAGCGGUCGGAGCAUCGUCAAGAUGUGACGGCGUGCCUUUUGCAUAAUGAACCUACGAGUUACCUUCCCCGGCAAGGUUAAGUACCUAAGGUACGGAGCCGAAGCGAAAGCGAGUCUGAAUAGGGCGGCCAGUCGGGGGGGGUAGACGCGAAACCGAGUGAUCUACCCUUGGCCAGGUUGAAGGUUGGGUAACACCAACUGGAGGACCGGAUGGGUAAGCGUUGAAAAGCUUUCCAAUGAGCUGAGGGUAGGGGUGAAAGGCUAAUCAAACUCGGAGAUAGCUCGUACUCCCCGAAAUGCAUUUAGGUGCAGCCUCUUUAUAGUAUAUCGUGAGGUAGAGCGACUGAUUGGAUGCGAGGGCUUCACCGCCUAUCAAGUCCAGAUAAACUCCGAAUGCGCGAUAUAUAUUUACAGGGAGUGAGGGCGCGGGUGCUAAGGUCCGUGUCCGAGAGGAGAAGAAUCCAGACCACCGGCUAAGGCCCCCAAAUGAUCGUUGAGUUGAACUAACGAGGUCGGAUCGCAGAGACAGCUAGGAUGUUGGCUUGGAAGCAGCCAUUCAUUUAAAGAGUGCGUAACAGCUCACUAGUCGAGCGAUCUGGCGUGGAUAAUAAUCGGGCAUAAACGAUCUGCCGAAGCCGUGGAUGUCGCAAGACAUGGUAGGGGAGCAUUCCAUGCGGCGUCGAAGAUGAGGGAUGACCCUUGUUGGAGCGCAUGGAAAAGCAAAUGUAGGUAUGAGUAACGAUAAGGGGGGCGAGAAACCCCCCCGCCGAAAGACCAAGGUUUCCUGAUCAACGCUAAUCGGAUCAGGGUGAGUCGGGACCUAAGGCAAAGCCGAACGGCGACGCCGAUGGAAGAAUGGGUUAAUAUUCCCAUACUGCCUCAUGGAGUGACGUGGAGACGGAGAAGUGACAGUCCUGCCGGCUGACGGAAUAGCCGGUUGAAGGGUGUAGAUAUUGAUUCCCGUAGGCAAAUCCGCGGGGAGAGUCGAACCUGACAGUAUACGGAGCGCUUGCGCAACGUAAUAUGGACGUAACCAUGCUCCCAAGAAAAUCCGCUAAACUUAUCCAUGCGGCACCCGUACCGUAAACGGACACACGUGGUCGGGUUGAGAAUACUGAGGCGCUCGAGUGACUCACGGUUAAGGAACUAGGCAAAUUGACCCUGUAACUUCGGGAUAAAGGGUCCUCGUCGUAAGGCGAGGCGCAGAGAAUAGGUCCAGGCAACUGUUUAACAAAAACACAUGGCUGUGCUAAAUGGAAACAUGAUGUAUACAGCCUGACACCUGCCCGGUGCUGGAAGGUUAAGAGGAGAUGUCAUCGCGAGAGAAGCGUUGAAUUGAAGCCCCAGUAAACGGCGGCCGUAACUAUAACGGUCCUAAGGUAGCGAAAUUCCUUGUCGGGUAAGUUC